GGCCUGGUCGGCGGCCCGCAAGGCGCCCUCCCGCGCUAGGCCGGGCGGCGUGGCGCGCGGCGCCGAGCAGGCCCCGAGGAGGCCGCAGUUAGGCCCGGGGAGGAGCCCGGCUGCCCCGAGCGGCGGCGGAGGCGCGCUCCGUAAGCGGGCGGGGGUUGGGGGAGGGUCGCCCGGUUGUGCCGGAGGCGGUCGAGGGGCCCCGGGUCGGCUCCGCGGCCGACCUGGGGCACCGCGCCGGGGUGAGGCCUGGGGAGGAGGCGAAGGCUGCAGGCGUGAGUGGAUGAUGCUGGCAAAAUAGAACACGACGGUUCUUCUGGAAUGACCAUGGACACAGAGUCGGAAAUUGAUCCUUGUAAAGUGGAUGGCACUUGCCCUGAGGUCAUCAAGGUGUACAUUUUUAAAGCUGACCCUGGAGAAGAUGACUUAGGUGGAACUGUAGACAUUGUGGAGAGUGAGCCUGAGAAUGAUCAUGGAGUUGAACUGCUUGAUCAGAACAGCAGUAUUCGUGUUCCCAGGGAAAAGAUGGUUUAUAUGACUGUCAAUGACUCUCAGCCAGAAGAUGAAGAUUUAAGUAAUAAUUCUGAUGGAAUUGAAAACCGGAAUGGCACUGCAAGUGCCCUCUUGCACAUAGAUGAGUCUGCUGGCCUCGGCAGACUGGCUAAACAAAAACCAA
rnacentral:sRNA from 1 species